rnacentral:rRNA from 1 species
UGGUGGGGUGACCCGUCUGGUUAAUUUCGAUAACGAACGAGAUCCGAGCUGUUUAGUUGGCUGUUUCUGCUACGGCAGGCUCAUGUCUCCUAAACGGACUGUCAGUUUGAGGCUGAAGGAAGUUUCGGGCUAAAUCA